UACGUAGGGUGCGAGCGUUGUCCGGAAUUACUGGGCGUAAAGAGCUCGUAGGUGGUUUGUCGCGUUUGUCCGUGAAAACUCACAGCUCAACUGUGGGCGUGCGGGCGAUACGGGCAGACUGGAGUACUGCAGGGGAGACUGGAAUUCCUGGUGUAGCGGUGGAAUGCGCAGAUAUCAGGAGGAACACCGGUGGCGAAGGCGGGUCUCUGGGCAGUAACUGACGCUGGAGGAGCGGAAAGCGUGGGGAGCGAACAGG
rnacentral:rRNA from 1 species